rnacentral:rRNA from 1 species
AACGAACGCUGGCGGCAUGCCUAACACAUGCAAGUCGAACGAGACCUUCGGGUCUAGUGGCGCACGGGUGCGUAACGCGUGGGAACCUGCCCUUAGGUUCGGAAUAACUCCCCGAAAGGGGUGCUAAUACCGGAUAAUGUCCUCGGACCAAAGAUUUAUCGCAUUUGGAUGGGCCCGCGUUGGAUUAGCUAGUUGGUAGGGUAAAAGCCUAUCAAGGCUACGAUCCAUAGCUGGUCUGAGAGGAUGAUCAGACACACUGGGACUGAGACACGGCCCAGACUCCUACGGGAGGCAGCAGUGGGGAAUAUUGGACAAUGGGCGAAAGCAUGAACCAGCAAUGCCGGGUGAGUGAUGAAGGUCUUAGGGUUGUAAAGCACUUUUACCCGGGAUGAUAAUGACAGUACCGGGAGAAUAAGCUCCGGCUAACUCCGUG